rnacentral:rRNA from 1 species
GACGAACGCUGGCGGCGUGCCUAAUACAUGCAAGUCGAACGAGUGGCGGACGGGUGAGUAAUGUCUGGGACACUGCCCGAUGGAGGGGGAUAACUAAUGGAAACGGUAGCUAAUACCGCAUACACUCGGAUGUGCCCAGUUGGGAUUCGCUAGUGGGUGGGGUAACGGCUCACCUGGGCGACGAUCCCUAGCUGGUCUGAGAGUAUGACCAUCCACACUGGAACGGAGACACGGUCCAGACUCCUACGGGAGGCAGCAGUGGGGAAUAUUGCACAAUGGGCGCAAUCCUGAUGCAGCCAUGCCGCGUGUAUGAAGAAGGCCUUCGGGUUGGAAAGUACUUUCAGCGAGGAGGCGUUACUCGCAGAAGAAGCACCGGCUAACUCCGUGCCAGCCGCCGCGGUAAUAC